AUGACAAACGGUUGAAAGAGUCGUCUCCUCAACGGGUUAGAGCGGGUGUUUUGAGUGUUUUAAAUUCAUUCCUUUUAGAUGAGCCAUCAUCCGAUAUCAUGGAUCUGCAGUGGCAUUUUGGAAAAAAAUGUUUUCAGGCGCGUUUCGAACGAAGGUUAUAGAAAAACCUGUGCUUGUGGAGAUGUACAGCAGAUUACCAUGGCAACCCAGGUUAUAGAAAAACCUGUGCUUGUGGAGAUCUACAGCAGAUUACCAUGGCAACCCAGGUGUGGAAAUAGGGGACUGUUUUUAAUCUGAAAUCUGUAUUGUCAAAGAUGGACAAUUCUUCUGACACCAUAUUAUUGUUCUUAAAGCAAAAUAUUAAUUUUGAUCUAUACUGUAUUCAUAAUUGUAUGUUUAUACUUGUGGCGCCACUGUGGCUGAGCAAGGUUUGGUAUUGCUACAGUGAGACCCCCAUCUUGCAAAGUUUGGUUAAGUAAAUAUGAUGAAAAUUAAAUCUAUUUACAAGAAUUACAUUUGUUUGAUUUUUUUCUGCUUAUAGAGUGAUCACUAGGUGUCAGAAGACUUGUAUUAUACUACAUGAGCUGUAUGGAGUCAUUUUAUAGACAUUUGUUGUCCUUUUUGAAAGUGAAGCUGGAAUCAAUUUACUGCAGUUGUUUAGAUAAAGGUCAGCAGUAAGUUUUGGGUGAACUAUUCCUUUAAACAGUCAAAGCCCCUGCUACUUUCCUGACUAAAGUUUUAUCUCGUCUGAAUGCAAAGAUUGCUAUAGCACAGUCUGAUGACAUUCAUUACUUUGUCUUAAGGCUUCUUAUGUGACUCUGCACUCACUGCUGGGUACAGCCUCAUACAUUUGAUUUAAUAAUAUCAGGACUGGGCAUCUCCCCCUGAAGUGGUAUUGAAACAGUAAAUUACUGUUACAUACUACUUUUUUGAAGUUUGGGUUGUGGAGUUAAGUGGCCAUAACAUAAGUCCAAAUAUUAAAAGAAUAGUUCACCCAAAAAUGAAAAUGUUCUGAUAAUUUACUCACCCUCAGGUCAUCCAAGAUGUAAUCGGGUUUCUGUCUUCAUCAGAAUAGAAUUUAAAACAGACGUUCUUUUGAAAUUAAUGCAAGAAAUAAUAAUCCAUCUUUUGAAUGGUCAAAUACUUGGAUGCAUCAAAAUAAUCCACACGACUCCAGUCGAUAAGUCUUCUGAACUGAAACAAUUGAACAUUUUUACAAACAAAACAUUAGUUAUGUACUUUUAACCUGCAAAUGCUUACUUCUGCCCUCGCUCUGUGAUGCACACUCAGCCCCGUGUCACAAGUAUUGUUUUGUAGAACAACAAAAAAAUUUAUUGUUUCAGUUCAGAAGACUUUUAUUUGUCGACUGGAGUCGUGUGGAUUAUUUUGAUGCAUCCAAGUAUUUGACCAUUCAAAAGAUGGAUUAUUAUUUCUUGCAUUAAUUUCUUGAGGAGACACCCUUGUGUUCCGAUGACGAGUUAAUUAUCAGCAGAUUUGGAUUUUUUUUUUUUUCUCUCAAAAUCAAAUAAAGUGAUCUGCUGAAGAAACAAAAACCUAUAUCUUGGAUGACACGAGGGUGAGUAAUCCAUAUGAGAAUUUUCAUUUUUGGGUAAACUAUUCCUUGAAAAUGUUUCUUUGAAUGUAGCCACUUAUUCACCCAAAAAUGAAACUUCUGCCAUUAAUUACUCUCCCUCAUGUCGGUCCAAAAUCUGUAAGACCUUCGUUCAUCUUCAGAACACAAAUGAAGAUAUUUUUAAUGAGAUCUAAGAGCUUUCUGUCCCUCCUUUGACAUCCUAAGUAAC